GUGGGGAAUUUUGGACAAUGGGCGCAAGCCUGAUCCAGCAAUGCCGCGUGCAGGAAGAAGGCCUUCGGGUUGUAAACUGCUUUUGUACGGAACGAAAAGGCUCUGGUUAAUACCUGGGGCUCAUGACGGUACCGUAAGAAUAAGCACCGGCUAACUACGUGCCAGCAGCCGCGGUAAUACGUAGGGUGCCAGCGUUAAUCGGAAUUACUGGGCGUAAAGCGUGCGCAGGCGGUUUUGUAAGACAGGCGUGAAAUCCCCGGGCUCAACCUGUGAAUUGCGCUUGGGACUGCAAAGCUGGAGUGCGGCAGAGGGGGAUGGAAUUCCGCGUGUAGCAGUGAAAUGCGUAGAUAUGCGGAGGAACACCGAUGGCGAAGGCAAUCCCCUGGGCCUGCACUGACGCUCAUGCACGAAAGCGUGGGGAGCAAACAGGAUUAGAUACCCUAGUAGUCC
rnacentral:rRNA from 1 species